GAAUAUUGUGUAUCUCCAACGAUGAGGUUGAAGAAAAUGAACAGACAAAUAAAGGAUUUCGAGGCCUUACAAGCUGAUGAUUUUAAUUCAUCCAGAAAAGCCUUAGAAGCUUAAUAAUGUCUAUACACACUUAUAGUUUACACACAUAUUUUGCCUGUGUCUUAUUCUAAACAAUUGGAUCACAAGCAACCUCCAGCUGUUAUCACAUAUAUCUUUGGUGAAAUCGUAACUAUUGUAAAGAUUUUUUGAUUAAUGCUUCACCUGUCAGAAUGAUUGGCAUGAACAUGAGCUCUAUUAAGCUUUUUGUUGUCUCCAGAAAUGAACAAUGUCGUCGAGGAUGGAGCGUGAUGUUGCCGGUCGUUAGCUGACAAAAAAUUGCACAAAUGCUCGAGACGUGCAUGACAACCAGAAUAUUGUAUAUCUCCAACGAUGAGGUUGGAGAAAAUGAACAGACGAAUAAAGGAUUUGGAGACGUUAUAGUUGAUGAAUUUAAUUUACCCAGAAAAUCCUUAGAAACUUAAUAAUGUCUUAUUCACAUACACUUAUUUCAUUCAGUGGAUUAUACUUAUAUUUUCCAAACUGAAAUAUAUCGUAUAUAUUCAUAUAAUGGAUAAUACUUAUAUUUUCAAAACUGAAAUAUAUGAUGUACCUCAUACAAGUAGCUAGGAAGUCGAUCAAAUAUGCUGACAAUUUUUCAGACACUGACUUUUAUGAAGAUAAUUCUACCGACUUAGAUGAAGCCAUACAAUAUUGGAGCGAAUAAUGAAAUUUAAGGGCAAUACAAUUUUGCUGAGCAAGAACCCAAUUUCAAUAACACAGAUGAGGGCCUCAACAUAUCUAAAUUGCAAAGAAACACGUAAUUAGUUUGGACUUCAGUAUCUUUUCUGAAAUAAAAGUAUAAAUAGUUGGAUGACAGAUUUCCAAAAAACGAAAAUAGAAGGAAAUAAUGGCGGUAAUCACUUCUACAGCAACACUGGUAGUACUGCUCUGAGCACGACUAGUAAAUCUUAUCUAAGAAAAUAUUGUGUUUUUCCGACGAUGAGUUAGAAGAUAAUGAACAGACGAAUAAAGGAUAUGGAGACCUUACAGUUGAAAAUGUUUUCAUUCACCCAGAAAAGCCUUAGUUAAUGUCUAAAUCACACACAUAUAUAAUGGUUGGCAUGAGCUGUGAAAAGAAAUAUUAUAUUGAAGAUGUAGCUGAUACGCUGUUAAUAAAUUUGGGGUGUCCUACAUAUACAUACAUACAAAGUUUACUGGUUGUCAAACCCGUUCCCAUUCAUGGAAUUUACUUCUCAACAAGAAAAUACAAACUUCUUUGGAAGAAGGCUAAGCAAACACCAAUUACCUUCAAUUGCACUCUGAAUCAUUUUUUUGAAUAAAACUAUAUGUCUAAGACUUAUUUAUAAUUAUAAGAAAACUUUAUUUUUAAAUUAAUACUUGUUGUAUUUAUAGUUUAAUUGUUAUUUAAAUUAUUUUGGAAUUCCUCACUAGUGAUCUGAUUGUUGUGCAUAGAGGCGGUUUCCAGAUUUUAAUUCAGCUGCAGCAUAGAUAGCUAAUUUCUAGAGAAUUGAAAUCCAUUAUAGUAAUUCACAGAAACAUUGGUACUACUCUGAGCACAACGGAUUAUUUCACAAUUAUUUUCUCAUUUAACAUAAUUCAUGAAUCAGGUAAUUGUAUAUUUUUUACGACUUGACAUUUUCAGAAUAUUGUGUUUCUCCAACGAUGAGAAGAAAAUAAACAGACAAAUAAAGGAUUUUGAGGCCUUACAAGCUGAUGAUUUUAGUUCAUCCAGAAAAGCCUUAGAAACUUAAUAAUGUCUAUACCACUUAUUUAAGUAUAUCAGUCUAGUAUCCAAUUUUAAAUGGUUAUUCAAAAAUACCUACUAAAAACAUUGUAUUACAUACUUAAUUAUUAUAAUGAUUUUAGAGCUUACACACAUAUUUUGUCUGUGUCUUAUUCUAAUAAUUCUUUAUUAGUUAUACCAUCAUAGUUUUCAUACUUAUUAGAUUGACAUAUUAGAUGACAAUGAGAGUAUUAACAUGGCUGAAAAAGGUAA